CACAGAGUCAGUCAUUCAUUGUCACUGUAAAGUAGGGCCCCAUAUUGAGCAAGAUCAAGUGCCAGACUGCUGCUUUGCCUAUACCAGUGUUGUCUGGCCACUGGUUUCUGCGUUGGUUUUAUCCUGCAGCUGGAUGACCUACAGGGAGUAGUAGUGGGAUGCACACCACUUUGCAUGCAGUGUGGGAGGCCUGAAGGGUGGUGCUCACUUGAACAGUGUUGUUUG